AAAUUUAUUCAUAAAAGUGGCGGUUAAUAUAUCAAUCAAGGUUUAACCGGAUUUUAAAUCCAAUUACACAUGAUUAUAAAAGCAAUCGAACUGUUAUUAUAGAGUGCACAUUUAAAAACAACUUUGUAAUUUUAAAUAUGUGAAAUAUUAUGUAUUGAAAAUUUAAUAUAAAUAAUGACACAUGUUUUAUUUUAAAUGUGUAAUGAUGAUAUUGAGGCACUCGUUUUAAUAGAGAAUAUAUAAAUGCUAACAAUUUAUUUACAAAAACAAAUUAUUUAACAAUCGCUAAUAAAAGUAAUUAAAAAAAAAGGUGCAAUCUGUAUCUCAAACGUUAACGAGAAUUGUUUUGUGUCAGUGCCAGAAAUUGAAUGCACUCCAGCAAAUUCCAUAAUUCAUAAAGAUAUUAUGAAUCCAUUAACAAAUAAUGUUGCAUCCCCUAAAGAUAUGCAGGUAUUAUUGGCACAAUGGGCAAGCAUUGAAGUGCAACUUGGUGAACUACAAAAUGCAUCAAAUUUAACUAUAUAAAAAUUUGAAUAACAAAGAUAUGCUAAUAAAUGAUUUGACUGAAAGAGUGUCGUUGCUAUUAAAAACAGUGGAGAAUUCAAAUACUUUAGAAGAAAAAAGACAAGAAAAUACUUAAGCAAAUGGUUAAUUAUUUGGGACAAAUUAGAGUUAAAGAAGAUGGAGAUUGUAAAUGUUAUUUACUAAGAAUAAUUUUUAAAAAUAGUCUAGCUGUAAAAUGCAGGGAUAUGACAUAAAAUCGAAAUAGGAAAAAUGUUGAUUGCAUAUUUUGCUAUUGGUAAGUGGUUUACAAGUCUAAUUUUUCAGUUUCAAUUUUGCAUUACACAAUUACUUUCUAAUCUAAUAAGAGUCUAAUAAAAUGGAAAAAAUAAAUAUGAGAUACUCAAUCAAAAACAUUCUGAUACCGUCGGAAAAAGACUACAAAUUAAAACUACUCGAGAAAACCGAUUCGUUUUUGAAAAAAAAUGAGAUGGAAGGCAUUUUAUUUUAUCAAUAACAGUUUAGCAUACAAAGAUAACAAGGACUAUAUAAGCUAAGGAAUUAAUUCAACCAAAUGUCCACCUCAAGUAAAAGAAAUGUCUUUUUUCGAGAAAGAUGUAAUAUAUCUAAUUAAAACAAUAAAGUCAAAAACACGUUUCAAGAUAAUAUAAAAAAUGAUAUAAAAUAAGUAAGAAUGCAAAGAAAAUUUAUAUAAAAGCCAACAAAACAUCAAAUAUGUAUAAAUUAUCCGAAGAAUAUAACCACCUUUUAAAAAAAUGCUAUUACUGCCACCUACAAAAAAGCCCACCCAAAAUUAAUAGAUAAAAUAAAUAAAGAAGGUAAGCAUGUUUUGCAAAACCAUGAUGUUUAUGAUAAAAUCAAGAUAAACGGGCUUUCUGAAUGUUGCUUAACUUUAUAAGAUCACAAAAUUUUUUUUUGCCAAAAACCAUGCAGACUUUUGAAUCCAACGAAAAAUGAGAUAGGAAGAAUUAGCAAAAUUAUUUUAUCAAAAAUUAACAAUGACUACGAAGUAAGUUAUUUAUUAAUCAAUGGCAAAGCACUUUAAACGUCACUGAUUGGUUUUUGAAAUUUAAGGAUAAACAUCUUUACAAAUUUUUAGUUUUCGACAUCGUGAUGACGGGCUAGCGAUAUUUAAAAACAAAAAUGGCCAGUAAAAGGAGAAAUUUAAAAAACAUUUUGUAAAAAUUUUUAAAAGUAACGAUCUUAUUUCCACCCAAUGCAAUAUGAAAAUAGUUAACUACCUUGACGUAACAUUUGAUCUCAAUAACAAAUCUUUUCAACCAUUCCGUAAAUGCGACAGUAAGCUGAAUUAUGUUCACUCUGAUUCAUACCACACACCUAAUAUUAUCAAAAGACUCCCUGGCACUGUUGAAUUAAGAUUAUCUGCCACAUCAGUAAACGAAUCUGUUUUUUAUAAUGCUAUCCCACCUUACAAAGAAGCUUUAAAAAAGUGUGGCUAUAAUUGUAAGUUCAAAUACCAACCUUAAGUCACCUUGACUAAAAACAAAAACUGAAAGCAAAAAGUCAUAUGGUACAACCCUCCGUUUAGUCGGAAUGUGGAAACAAAAAUCGGCAGUCGUUUACUUGCAUUAAUUGAAUUGCACAUUCCAGUAAACCAUAAAUUUCACAAAAUAUUUAAUAGACGUUCAAUCAAAGUUAGUUAUAGCUGUAUGCAAAACGUAAAGUCUAUAAUUAGUUAACAUAUUCACAAGAUUUUACACAGUGAUACAAAUGUGAAUUCAAGAACUUGCAAUUGCAUCAUAAAGACUGCUUUCCCAUUGAACAAUCAGUGUUUGUUAAGUAAUAUUGAUUAUCAAGCUACUGUGAUUGAUGAAAAUGCUAAUCCUAAAAAAAAAGAAAAAAUAUAUAGUUCGGUAUCAGCGAAACACCAUUCAAACUUAGAUAUGCAAAUCAUUUAAAACCGUUUGAUGAUGUGAAAUACAGAAAUGAUACCGAGCUUUCUAAGGAGAUUUGGAAUUUGAAAGAAAAAAACAAAGCACGCAAUAAAGUGGAAAAUUAUAAAACGCUGUAAACCCAUUAAAACAACAUCAAAAAUUUGUAACCUCUGCCUUCAUGAGAAAUUUAUAGUUUUAUAUCACAAAGAAAACAAAUUUCAACAAAUUUCCAACAAAUUUCUAUUGUCUUCUUUUGAUAUCAGAGACUAAAUAGUUAGGCCUUUUAUUAGGUCAGACCGUAAUUUUUAAUUCAUUUGUGAAAGAUUUUUUUUAUGUAUAUAAUAGUUGAUAAUAAGUGCCGUGUAUGGCACGAAACUCUAAGUACUUUUGACAAUGUUGUUUUUCAUUUAAACAAAAUUUAAAUAUUUAUUGCUCUAUUAUAGUAAUAUUGAGCACUGUUUUACGUUCAUAAGUUUUA